CAGUCGCCGCGGUAAUACGUAGGGUGCGAGCGUUAAUCGGAAUUACUGGGCGUAAAGCGUGCGCAGGCGGUUACAUAGGACAGAUGUGAAAUCCCUGGGCUCAACCUGGGACCUGCAUUUGUGACUGUAUAGCUAGAGUACGGUAGAGGGGGAUGGAAUUCCGCGUGUAGCAGUGAAAUGCGUAGAUAUGCGGAGGAACACCGAUGGCGAAGGCAAUCCCCUGGACCUGUACUGACGCUCAUGUACGAAAGCGUGGGGAGCAAACAGGAUUAGAUACCCGUGUAGUCCCUGUCUCUUAUAC
rnacentral:rRNA from 1 species